GUUUACCUAGCCAUAAAGGGACAUGCUUUUUCUUCAAAAAGAAUUUGAUGAGUUAAGAAGUUGUCCCUGCAUCACUAUUAUGACUGUAGGAAAUUCUGACAAGUUUAAAAGUGAUUCCAGAGCAACCUUGAUUCAGAAACUACUGAACAGUUAAAAGUAGUUCCUCAGGUCUGUUUUCUGAUUAAAUACUAUCAAGUUUUUAAUUGGUUCCAAUAUUACAUUAAUUUAGGGAAUGCUGACAAGUUUGGAGGUGGUGUCCAUGUGUGCUUCUAGAGAUGAAUGGACUUUUCCAGACUCAUUCCAUUAACCUGGGACUCCAGUAGGACUGAAGACUUAACAUGUAUUGUCAGGCAACACUGGCUAGCUUCAUUAUAGAAUUACUCCAAUUACUGUAAUGAAGUUUUCAGUGAGGAGUUGCAAUUGCCCCUGUAUCAGCAAGAUAAUCUGUUUUGGCAUCACAAGCCAGAUGGUGUUUCAAUUGGCCAUACAAAAAACAUGCAAGGCUUACCAGUGCAUGUUGUACCAUUGUUGAUGAAGUGUCUUUGAUGUCUAUGGUGAACCCAAAGCUUUUCUGACCAAAUUUCUCAGAAUUUCAUCCACCCAAUCUCAGUCAAAUUGUCAAAACUUUUCACUCAACCAAAAAGGAAAUCGACCAAUAUUUAUUCUUUGGAAUCAUUUCAGUUUAUAGGGACCAGUUUUCUUAGACUGUCUACUCUUCAAUGGUUGUUUUUCAUUGAUUUGCUUUUAUACUUUCAUAAUUGUAUAAAGACAGUGUUUCAUUAAUUCUUUGGACAUGAAGAUUCAUGGGUGAAGGGUACACACAAAAAAAUAAGUAGCCAUGAAUUUUUAUGGUUCAUGAUAGCUGCAUGCUGACUUGAUACAUGCAUUAUGAACCUGUCAUUCUACAAUAAAGACAAGAAAUCAUUGACCUACCUCAUGAUAGAUGGAGGGCUGAGAGAAUGUGGGGAUACGGAAUGUCUUGACAUUGGGUUUUCCAUCAGGCAACGUUGUUUCCUGCAAAAUCAAAAUACCAAUUAAUUGCACACCGCAGUUACAGAGAAGACCAGUCAUGGCUGACCUCCAAUCUAAGGUAAAGAAAACCUGAAUAGAAAUAUCAUGGAUGCCAAGAAAUGCCAAAUAUUAAGCUGGAUUAAUCAUAAUAUAGCAGUUUUUGGUGAUGUCGGUUUGAGAUACCAAGAUAAGAUAAGUGAUGCUGAAUUGAGACAGUAAGACAUGAAUGGCCCUCUCAUGGAGUUUCAAUUCUGCUGUCAUAAUGGCUCACUCCUAAUAUGUGCAUCCUUGAAAAUGAGGACAGAGAUGCCUUAGAGAAAAAUUAGCUGUCCUGUUCAUAAAUCUGACAAACAAAUUCACUGGUCGUGGUCAAUCAAUGCAGUCAAUAUGGGCUCUUUGUUUCAUCAAUGCUCAUAAAACAGGAUUGUAAUUUGUUUAAUGUACAAUUAUUUUAGCUUUAAUCUCAUUUGGGAGUAAGUAAGAACGUCUGCAUGUAAAGCAUAGUGAUUAAACAAAUUAAAAUCAAUAAAAA
rnacentral:sRNA from 1 species